rnacentral:rRNA from 1 species
AGAAUAGACUACCCGGGUAGUCCACGCCCUAAACGAUGCGAACUGGAUGUUGGGUACAUUACGGUACUCAGUGUCGAAGCUAACGCGUUAAGUUCGCCGCCUGGGGAGUACGGUCGCAAGACUGAAACUCAAAGGAAUUGACGGGGGCCCGCACAAGCGGUGGAGUAUGUGGUUUAAUUCGAUGCAACGCGAAGAACCUUACCUGGCCUUGACAUCUGUCGAAUCCUGCAGAGAUGCGGGAGUGCCGCAAGGAACGACAAGACAGGUGCUGCAUGGCUGUCGUCAGCUCGUGUCGUGAGAUGUUGGGUUAAGUCCCGCAACGAGCGCAACCCUUGUCCCUAGUUGCCAGCACGUAAUGGUGGGAACUCUAGGGAGACUGCCGGUGACAAACCGGAGGAAGGUGGGGAUGACGUCAAGUCCUCAUGGCCCUUACGGCCAGGGCUACACACGUACUACAAUGGUCGGUACAGAGGGUUGCGAAGCCGCGAGGUGGAGCCAAUCCCAGAAAACCGAUCCCAGUCCGGAUCGGAGU